ensembl:lncRNA
CUAGUAAUGUGUAAAUGAUGUAUACAGAUACCUGUUCAAUUCUGUUAAAUUAUGACGCUGGCCCUUUAAGAUUUCGGUGGGUGAGAUCUCAUUCGCGAGUCAGUCUCGUGAGAGUUAGAGCUGAAGUAGUGCGGUUAACAGAGUGUGUAUUGCAUCAUCAGUGCUUUGGAAAUAUACAACUAAUAUUAGGAUAAAACACCAAAAGGGUGAAAAAUAUUCAGUUGUAUUAGCCCAAUAUUGACUUGGUGAAAAGUGCAUCGAUGUGAUUGAGUUGUGAUGUAUGACAAUUGAUGACAAAUGAUCGUGAUCCAUGUGAAGUGUUUCUCCUCGUGUCAAAAACACGAUUUGUUGACUAAUCAUAAAGCAGGGGAGAAAGAAAAGUGCUUUAUAGGCCAUCUGUGAGAUCCAAAUUGUGUUCAUCAGUACAGAGUGAGUUGAUUAUUUCUUUGAUAUGGAAGUUUUCUGUACAUUUCAUGCAAGUAUUGUGAAAUGUGUAACUUUGACAUGCACGUUGAAUUGUGUAUCGUUUGUAUUUUCAGAGAGUCUAAAGUCCACUACCGUUGUUUUUUUUGUUAUCCUAAAAAAGCCACAUUUAUGUAUUUUUGCUUUGUUUUUGUGCUUUUGCAAAAUUCAUAGAUUUAACAGGGGAAGCUAAUUCCAUUUUUUUUUGUCUUUUACAUUUAUUUUUGUCCUGCUCUGGUUUCUAAAACAUUUUCAACCCCAAAAAGCCAAAGCUAUUGUUAAUGCUGUGUCCCUAUGGUCACAGUCGGAAAUAAAAGACCCUUAAUUUAAGUUUGCCUGUGUUUUGGACCUUUCAUUCUUUUGAAAGCAAGCGGUCAGCCGGCAACAUAUAUAUAAAUAUUAUUAUAAAUAUAUUAUAAAUGUGUAUAUAUAUAUUAAAGAAAAUUAAAUGAAUAAAAAUUAAAUAUUUAGGCCAAAAUUUAUUUAUAUUAUACAAAAUAUUUGUC